GUGCCAGCAGCCGCGGUAAUACGAAGGGGGCUAGCGUUGCUCGGAAUCACUGGGCGUAAAGGGCGCGUAGGCGGCUUAUCAAGUCGGGGGUGAAAGCCCGUGGCUCAACCACGGAAUGGCCUUCGAUACUGGUAGGCUUGAGACCGGAAGAGGACAGCGGAACUGCGAGUGUAGAGGUGAAAUUCGUAGAUAUUCGCAAGAACACCAGUGGCGAAGGCGGCUGUCUGGUCCGGUUCUGACGCUGAGGCGCGAAAGCGUGGGGAGCAAACAGGAUUAGAUACCCCGGUAGUCC
rnacentral:rRNA from 1 species